CGGGUGAGUAAUGUAUCGGAACGUGCCCAAUAGUGGGGGAUAGCCCGGCGAAAGCCGGAUUAAUACCGCAUGAGACCUGAGGGUGAAAGCGGGGGAUCGCAAGACCUCGCGCUAUUGGAGCGGCCGAUAUCAGAUAGGUAGUUGGUGGGGUAAAAGCCUACCAAGCCGACGAUCUGUAGCUGGUCUGAGAGGACGACCAGCCACACUGGGACUGAGACACGGCCCAGACUCCUACGGGAGGCAGCAGUGGGGAAUUUUGGACAAUGGGCGAAAGCCUGAUCCAGCCAUGCCGCGUGCGGGAAGAAGGCCUUCGGGUUGUAAACCGCUUUUGUCAGGGAAGAAAUCCCUUGAGUUAAUACCUCGGGGGGAUGACGGUACCUGAAGAAUAAGCACCGGCUAACUACGUGCCAGCAGCCGCGGUAAUACGUAGGGUGCGAGCGUUAAUCGGAGUUACUGGGCGUAAAGCGUGCGCAGGCGGUUAUGCAAGACAGAUGUGAAAUCCCCGGGCUCAACCUGGGAACUGCAUUUGUGACUGCAUAGCUAGAGUACGGUAGAGGGGGAUGGAAUUCCGCGUGUAGCAGUGAAAUGCGUAGAUAUGCGGAGGAACACCGAUGGCGAAGGCAAUCCCCUGGACCUGUACUGACGCUCAUGCACGAAAGCGGGGAGCAAACAGGAUUAGAUACCCUGGUAGUCCACGCCCUAAACGAUGUCAACUGGUUGUUGGACGGCUUGCUGUUCAGUAACGAAGCUAACGCGUGAAGUUGACCGCCUGGGGAGUACGGACGCAAGGUUGAAACUCAAAGGAAUUGACGGGGACCCGCACAAGCGGUGGAUGAUGUGGUUUAAUUCGAUGCAACGCGAAAAACCUUACCUACCCUUGACAUGUCUGGAAUCCCGAAGAGAUUUGGGAGUGCUCGAAAGAGAACCAGAACACAGGUGCUGCAUGGCCGUCGUCAGCUCGUGUCGUGAGAUGUUGGGUUAAGUCCCGCAACGAGCGCAACCCUUGUCAUUAGUUGCUACGAAAGGGCACUCUAAUGAGACUGCCGGUGACAAACCGGAGGAAGGUGGGGAUGACGUCAGGUCCUCAUGGCCCUUAUGGGUAGGGCUACACACGUCAUACAAUGGCCGGUACAGAGGGCUGCCAACCCGCGAGGGGGAGCCAAUCCCAGAAAACCGGUCGUAGUCCGGAUCGCAGUCUGCAACUCGACUGCGUGAAGUCGGAAUCGCUAGUAAUCGCGGAUCAGCUUGCCGCGGUGAAUACGUUCCCGGGUCUUGUACACACCGCCCGUCACACCAUGGGAGCGGGUUCUGCCAGAAGUAGUUAGCCUAACCGCAAGGAGGGCGAUUACCACGGCAGGGUUCGUGACUGGGGUGAAGUCGAAACAAGGUA
rnacentral:rRNA from 1 species